rnacentral:rRNA from 1 species
UCAAGGAAGAAGAUUUGACGGUACUUGAGGAAUAAGCCACGGCUAAUUCCGUGCCAGCAGCCGCGGUAAUACGGGAGUGGCAAGCGUUAUCCGGAAUUAUUGGGCGUAAAGCGUCCGCAGGCGGCCUUGUAAGUCUGUCGUUAAAGCGUGGAGCUUAACUCCAUUUCAGCGAUGGAAACUACAAGGCUUGAGUAAUACGGGGCAGAGGGAAUUCCCG